UACAGAGGGGUGCGAGCGUUUGUUCGGAAUUAUUGGGGCGUAAAGCGCUUGUAGGCGGCCUGUCAAGUCGCGUGUGAAAUCCCCUGGCUUAACCAGGGGAAGUGCGCGCGAAACUGGAAGGGGCUUGAGUGCCGGGAGAGGGGUCGCGGGAAUUCCCCGGGUGUAGAGGUGAAAUUCGGUAGAUAUCGGGGAGGGAACACCAG
rnacentral:rRNA from 1 species